rnacentral:sRNA from 1 species
UAUAAUUUUGUCGAUUUAUAAGACUGGAUUAUACAGAAGAAUUACAUUACAAUAGAAGGCUUUAUGAUAAUCCGAUAUUUUACUUUCUCUUCUGUCUUUUCAGUACUACCUCACUGGAUUGAGUUUUGACUAUAUAGUAUAUAAAUUUGAAUCGGCGAUGAUGAAAAACAAUUGACCCUUGUGACGCUUGGCCCAAUACGCCCUUAAUACCCUCUGAAGAUGAGUCCUCCAAUCCCCGGUUUUCUGCUCGCGAGCUGGAAGCGUGUUCGGGAGCCAAAGUGCAUUCUUCGCGUGGCUCGCGGUUGGUUGAGACCCGGGGAGGGGGCUGGAAGACUGACUGGAAGACGGACCUGAAGAGAGAGGAAUUCGCUACGGGCUUUUCAUGUGCUUCACUUUGGUUUUGUGCCUUGUGUUUUUGUCAGUUUGUCAUUUGCGUUGUUCAAUUAAUUGCAGAAAUCAAUUUGAGCAA